AUUUUUAAUUGGAAUCUUGUUUGAAUGGUUUAAUGAAAUAAAAUCUUUUUUGUAUUAAUAAUUUAAUUUUAUUUUUUAGUUAAAAAGCUAAAAUAUAAAAAAGGGACGAGAAGACCCUAUAGAAUUUUAUAAAGUUUUAUUAAUUUUAUAAUUAAUUAUUUAUAUUCUAUUAGUAAAAUUUUAUUUUAUUGGGGCGAUAAUUAAAUUUAUUAAACUUUUUUAUAAAUUAUCAUUAAUAAAUGUAUAUUUGAUCUAAUUUUAUUGAUUAAAAAUUUAAAUUACCUUAGGGAUAACAGCAUAAUAUAAUUAAUAAGUUCUUAUUAUUAAUUGUGUUUAU
rnacentral:rRNA from 1 species